CGUUGACAAUGGAAGAUCAGAAAUUAAUCAAGAAUAGAUUGGUAUAACCGAGACAAAAAUUUGAUGAAUAUGAUACGUUACUACCCUUCAAAUAAGUGGUUUGUAAUACUUCUUGCAUUACUCGUGAGCGGUGCAAAUGUGCUCUGUGGUGAAGUGUCUCAACUUGUAUUGGAAGAAAGUGAAAUUGACGGCAGUUUGUCAGAGAAUAUUGUUUUGUAUGGAAUAAUUUCCGAAUUGGCUGAACGAAAUUCAAAUGUAAGCACAACAUGUGCAGCUGAUCUAACAAAUAUCCUUAGAAGUAUCAACAAGGAGGAUAUGUGGGCUGUUAAGGUAAUGGAUGCAUCUGGAACGUAUAGAGGAUCUUUCGUUUGGGGACAGAAUGCAUGGAUUGGUUCAAAACAGAGCUGUGAUUUCCUGAAUGAAGUCCCAAAAUUCACAAUAUCACCGGACGUUCCCAAACUAAUGGACAAACAUCUGAUAUCCACAAUAUCACCAAUGGAAAUGGAUUUCAAAAUGAUUUUUCUCAUUAUAGUCAGCCCAUACAAAGUUGAUCCAAUAAUUAAUCUAAGAACAGCAAACACUCACCGAUUGGGUUUAUGUCUACCAAAAUCCUGUUCCAAUCAAGACGUUGAACGUUUGUCGAAAAGUUUUUUUUCUCGGCCAAAACUUAAAUUUCAAAAAGUUUAUAACGCAACAAUCGAUGUUAUCAACGUGAGAAACAUGGACAUCCACAAC